GAGGAUUUAGCUCAGUGGCACUGCACCUGCCUCACAAGCAGAAGGUCCUGAGUUCAAUCUCAGGUACCACA
rnacentral:tRNA from 1 species